rnacentral:rRNA from 1 species
AUUGAACGCUGGCGGCAUGCUUUACACAUGCAAGCCGAACGGUAACAGGUCGCAAGGUGCUGACGAGUGGCGAACGGGUGAGUAAUGCAUCGGAACGUGCCCAGUCGUGGGGGAUAACGCAGCGAAAGCUGUGCUAAUACCGCAUACGAUCUAUGGAUGAAAGCGGGGGACCGUAAGGCCUCGCGCGAGUGGAGCGGCCGAUGUCAGAUUAGGUAGUUGGUGGGGUAAAGGCUCACCAAGCCAACGAGCUGUAGCUGGUCUGAGAGGACGUCCCGCCACACUGGGACAGGGAAUCGGCCGCUACUCGUACGGGAGGCAGCAGUGGGGAAUUUGGGACAAUGGGCGCAAGCCUAAUCCAGCAAUGCCGCGUGCAGGAAGAAGGCCUUCGGGUUGUAAACUGCUUUUGUACGGAACGAAAAGGUUUGGGUUAAUACCCUGGGCCGAUGACGGUACCGUAAGAAUAAGCACCGGCUAACUACGUGCCAGCCGCCACAGUAA